CUUCACCGACCCGAGCCACAAAGGCCGUUCACGAUUCUGGCCGUAGGUCGCGAGCAGGGCCUGCGCCUC
rnacentral:antisense_RNA from 1 species